ACUGCGGAAUCAAAACAUUACAGAGGCCCCAUGCUUUGUUCCUCGGUCGCUGAUAAUAGCCUUGUCCCACUUAGUCGGGUUACCUAUUGGAUUAAGCCAAUUAAAGCAUCUUUACAAAGAGAACGCCUAGUACUAACAUCGACGAAAACUGUGAGCUAACCUAGGAGUGAGGGAGAGGCAAAUACGCGGCUAACGCUUUUCGUCGGGUCUGUUUUCAGCGCGGUUCUUAGAUGAGCUAAGGAAAUACAAGAAAAAAUACAACAUUUAGCGAGUAAAUUCCGCAGAAUAGUUGCAGUGCUGGAGGAUAUCCACUAGGGAAUCCCAGUGGGAAGGAACAUGCCGAGUGGGACUUCGCCCCCUACAUGGAUAUCAUGCAAGGCGUGUCCUCGCUAAGCAAUAGGACAGCGGAUACCACCACCAGCUACUUGGCAGCUUAAGCGGAGGUGGAGGACGCUCUGCCUUCUAUAGCGAGGAGGAAAAUAGGGCACCCGCUGGAGUUGGUGAAGUUGGAGAAGCCAUAGCCAGCCAUUGCCAGGAUGCUGGGCGACUUUAUGCAGCAUCAGCGGAUCCACCCCGUUCCCAAUCUGGCUCUCACUUCCUCUAGGUCCAAUAUGCCCAUUGGGACUCGGAGCUGGACUGCGAGCUUGAACAACAUUCGUUGUAGUUUAUUUGUGCACCAGCAGACUAUUCUUUUUAAAUUGCUUAAAUUGAUUUGUUUUCCCUUCGGCAAAAAACCAAGCUGCUUGACAGUAAGACUAUGCUACAUGCGGGUGAACUUUGAAAACUUCGGUCACACUACAAAGAAUAAGAUUUUUCGACUAGUAAAACUCUUAGCCGAUCUGAAACACAAGUGCUAAAAAGAGAUAGGUAAAAAUUGCUUCAGCUCGCAUCACCGAAAAAUGGCACACGCAAAUCAAUUCAGUAUUUCAUUGUUUUUAUUCAGUAUUAUUUACGAGUGCUUGUUAAUUUUUGUACUUUGAGUUUCGGGACUUUUUUAAGAAGGAAACGCAUUUGGACUAGAAGCGCGCCGUUAUAAGGAAAUUAUUGUUGUAGCAGGACCAAAGAGCCUUCCAACGGCGCGAAAAUAAAUAAUCUUAUUGUGAAGAGAAAUAUUACUACACUUCUUUAAGGAUGAGGCCAACAUGCAGCUUUUGUCCUUCAACUGGUAACUGUUGCACAAAAACCUACAUACACAAAAGCCAUACAUGCCGGUUUUUUUCACGGCAUUGUUCGGCUCAUUUAUUAGAGGUUGAUUGGAUAAGAAGGCAUAGUCACCUUAGCGUUUGAAAGUUAACUUUAAACUUCAUAACUCAAUUAACUUAACACUCCAUAUAGACAAUUGUAAGGGAUGUCCGCUUUUUCACUAGUAAAAAUGAAAAUGAAAUGAAAAUAUACUCACUUGUCGUAUGGCCUGUCACGUGCCGGUGACACAUCCCACGUGAAAUCACUUGUGAAAUUCAGAAUAUUUCCAAUGUGUUUUCACUUAAAAAAUCACUUGCAAGUGGCACGUCCCAAGUGAAAUCACUUGUGAAAUUAAGAAUAUUUCCAAUGAGUUUUCACUUAUGAAAAUAUAGAAUGUAAAAUACCUACAUUUUU